GGAGGAUGAAUGAGCAGUCAUUCAUCUAGUUUCAGGAAACUAGAAGGUGUUGGCUCUAGUAUUUAUUUCCUCUGCCUGGAUGGCACUUCAGGAUAAGGUGAAAGGAAGAGUGUCCUCUGCCCCUUGGGUGACUGGCACAAUGAUAAACACAGAUUCAUCUGGCCCUGACCUGGGAAUUGUGAAGAAGAAAACACUUUCUUAGGGAGACUGUACAAGGAGGACUUCCCCCACUUUUGUCAGGUCUGGUGGCAUUUGCCCUGGACUGGUCCCUGUCUCAGGGAAUACAGGCCACAGUCGCCCUAGGGUUAGCUGGGCAUGGAGCGGCCCUGGAAGAAAAGAAGAUAUGAAAAGAGGAAGGAAUGAGCUCACCUUGCCUGCAACUGUCUCUCAGGGGAGAGAGUUUAAGGAGACUCAAAGAAGAGGAGGAGAGUCCAGGAACUGAGAGCUGCCGUAUAUGUACAGCGUUGCGUCCAUGUAGACCUGAGACCCCCUGGCUAUGUGUCUCAGGAUGUGUCCUUCAGUUCUGCCUCCUGAGCCUCAAGGGCAUGCCAUCUUUCUCAGGCUGUG
rnacentral:lncRNA from 1 species